rnacentral:rRNA from 1 species
GUAAGGAGUUUUCGGCAAUGGGGGGAACCCUGACCGAGCAACGCCGCGUGAGUGAUGACGGCCCUAUGGGUUGUAAAGCUCUGUUAUAAGGGACGAACAGCUUUGCUAGGAAAUGAGCAGAGUCUGACGGUACUUUAUCAGAAAGCCACGGCUAACUACGUGCCAGCAGCCGCGGUAAUACGUAGGUGGCAAGCGUUAUCCGGAAUUAUUGGGCGUAAAGAGUGAGCAGGCGGCAGAUUAAGUUUGAGGUUAAAGCGUGGGGCUCAACCCCAUAAAGCCUUGAAAACUGAUCAGCUAGAGUACGAGAGAUGUGAAGGGAACUCCAUGUGUAGCGGUGAAAUGCGUAGAUAUAUGGAAGAACACCAGUGGCGAAGGCGCUUCACAAGCUCGAAACUGACGCUCAGUCACGAAAGCGUGGGUAGCGAAUAGGAUUAGAAACCCCAGUAGUCC